UACGAGGCUAGAGUCUUGCCUGGGCAUGGCGUUGUCCGGGUGUGCUGGAGUCCUCGGAGAGCAGCCACUGGCCUUAUUCGCUGGCUGUGGCCGUGUGGCCUGGCUGGUCACCAGGCCAGGAACAGGU
ensembl:snoRNA